GACCCUGACUUGUUCGAUCCCCAAUCUCAAUCUCACCUCUCUCUCUCUAUCUCGCCACCCACACACCCUAACCCUAACCCGACCGCGCCGCCGCUCCCAACCUGGGCGCCUCCGCCCCAAACCACCCGCCGGUCCCCUCGCGCCACCACAUCUCGGACCCCGGUCUCCCUUCCCUUAGUCCGCAGUAGCAGCAGCGCCGUCUGCGAUGGAGGAGCACCGUCUGCCGCCGAGGAACAGCGCCGUCCGCCACCAAGGAUCUGCCGCGCGCCGGGAACAGCAGCACCAUACGCCGGAGGAUCCGCCGCACCGACUUCUGUUGAGGAGCAGCCCGCCGUUCUUCUUCCUCCACCGGCGACCCCUGUCCCGGCCCCGCCUCCAGAUCUCAACAAAACAAUACCCCUGAAGAUGCGUGGAGUAGGCUACUCCUCUGACCAUAACAAUUGGCUGCUAUUGACGACGCGAGGUGGUCUUAUAUGUUCAGUUCUUAAUUAUCAUUUCAAAUCCUUGGACUAGUGGCUGGGAUCGUAUUGGUUAUUUGGAGAUACCUAUUUGUACCGAAGUUCAGUUAGUAAGUUGAAUAUAGCCCUCUUGUUAUAGCCAUGUGCAGUUGAAUUGAAUAUUUUCGGUCCGCUGCUCACUCUUGAUUUUUGCUAAAAAUCUAAAAUCCUUGGUCAGUGGCAUGUUAAUUAUACAUUGCUCGCUAGUUCUAUGCACAUAAAAUACUUGGUUGGGACUGAAAAUUGUAGCACUUGAGCAAGAAAGGCUGACUACCAAUUCAUUAGCAUGUCAAUAAAGUCAAUCUGGUCUUCCUCUAGGAACUUGUUAGGGCUCAUUAAUAGCAUUGUUUUGCUCACUGAAAUAGGAGAGGAGCUGCACAAGAAAGAAAAAGGACAAAUGGCCAAGUACACUUGGCGGAAGAUUGACGAAACAGAGAGGCAGAGAGCAUAGGUAAAAACUGAGACCAAAGGCACUGAGACUUGAGUAAUAGUUCUAGUAAGCUCACAAUACUACUUCCACAACCGUGAAUGGUAAAUUUUAGAAGUACAAAUAAAAGCAUAGAAAUUGACACAAAUUGCUAGUUUUAGGUAUUCAAUGAUUUCCGAACAGAUUGAAAGUCCAAGCCUUGAUGAAUUGACAGUCCGCACAUGUUCUAUGAAGUAUUUUAAACGAAAUUGCAAUUGAAAUCCAGAUGCAGCUACUGUAGAUAUAUUUGUUGCUAUUAGCACACAUUUUUUCCCUAUCCAAGGUCUUCUACUAUUUCAAUACCCAUCACAUGUGAAAAUCUGUGGUGAUAAAAGAAACAAAUCUACAGUCUGUAAUUUGUUCCUGAAAGUGAAACUUAACAAUGUCAGUGAGUGGUGAAAUGUACACUCUUGUUUGAUCUAAUUUCUGGAUUUCCUUUCCUUGUACUUCUAAGAAAACAAUUAAGUGUAUGGAACACAAAGACAACAUUAGUUGCAUCUUUCAUUGAGGAAGAAACUCAUUAGAUCUAUCUAGUUUGAACAAAUUUAUGUCUAAACUGUCAUAUUUAUUCACAGAUUUUGUCUGCUUGCUUCGAAACAUAAAUGCGGCUGUUGCUUGCUGAUAAUUUCGGUUAUGGUGUGGCUGCCUAUUACUCAAGAUGAUCUCAUAUCAUAUCAUCAAUUUCAGGAACAUUAUCUCAGCUGUCGUUCAUUUCAGAACAAAUCGUUGGCAUUGUACCUUCAAAGGACUAUCCUUUUGCCUACCGAGCACACAAAACAAAUGUGUCUAUGUAUUUAUUUAAGUGAAACAACAUGCUCCCAUUUUUGGUCAAUCGGUGGAUCUGACUAAUACAUAACUACAUAUAUAUGUGUGAGGUAUUAUUCAUGUGUCAUUUUUUGUAAUUCGAGUAAGCUAAAACUGAUGGUCUCAGAUGGUUUGUGUUUUAACUUUGAUCAGAACCUGCAUCUACAAAUACUGAGUAGAGGGUUGCCUUUUGUGCAGGAAUUUGCGGCAGGAUCUCUUGCAUGUGCUCUCCGCUUGUCCUCACUCCUUAGACCUUCCCUUUGCUUAUCACCAUACAUUUUAUUGAGAGCGGUGUCAAGAUGCAUCUCCUCUGCAAAGAUGAUGGGCAGAUGGCCUAAGCUCUAGGGUCAAAUGGCGGGAAGUAUCAAGUCGAAGAUAUUAUGGCUUUGGUACAUCUUCUAUUUUCUUUAAAUGGAAUUUGAUGUCGGUUUGGUGAUCGAAGACUUGGGCUCUUCCAUAGUGUAGUGUAGAGUGAUCGAACACUUGAAGUCUCUUUUGAACUAGGCCCAUAUUUUGUAACAUGCCACAACUUGUAUGUUGAUUUGAGUAUUUUUUCAAUGGUUGUAGCAAGGAAAACUAAUGGAUCCUCUAAAUAUGUUGAAUAAAUGCAUUGGUGAA